AGCCGAAACGGUGGAACUUCCACCGUCUGGCGGGAUCGGCCGCCCGCCACUGAUGAGGCAGGCCAGA
rnacentral:hammerhead_ribozyme from 1 species